UUGAACUAUUUGAAUACAGCACUGGUUUCUGCACAACAAAAGCUUAAUAUCAAAAAGAAGGCAGAUGUUACCAACAUCAAAAAUACUUAACAUAAUUACUAAAUGCUACCAUCUCCUUUCCUACAGUGAGAACAAAUUGGUUCCUUUCUACUUGAUGCCUCCUCGUUGGACCUGGCUGGUUAAUUUUGAUGUUUCAUUUGGAUUUCUGUUCUGGUUGAGAAGCACAACUCGUGCUUAUUCACAAUCAAAUUUUGUGAGAACAAAUUGGUUCCUUUCUACUUGAUGCCUCCUCGUUGGACCUGGCUGGUUAAUUUUGAUGUUUCAUUUGGAUUUCUGUUCUGGUUAAGAAGCAUGACUCGUUCCUUUUCACAUUCAAAUUUUGUGAGAACAAAUUGGUUCCUUUCUACUUGAUGCCUCCUCGUUGGACCUGGCUGGUUAAUUUUGAUGUUUUAUUUGGAUUUCUGUUCUUGUUAAG